rnacentral:lncRNA from 1 species
CUUUAUCUGUAAUGAGGUUUCUCUCUCAACUGUUUACCAAAGUAUUAAAAAGCACUUUGUAGCGCCGGCUGGUAUAUUCCAUCAAAGAGAGUCAAUAGAACAGAUGAAGACAUAUGAGAAAGUCAGGAGAUAAGGUGCCUUUUAUGAAAGUUCAGAUUCCAGACCUAUUAAAAAGAACCGCUUCCCCCUCUGUGAAUUCAGGGACAAAAAAAACAACCUUUUCCUCUUUGGCAGUAAGGUGGUUUCUCAUAGGGUAGGACAGCACCUGGCAGGUUUUCCCAGAGUCUGAUCGAGGUGAAUAAUUAAUUGUAGUCAUUAAUGUCCGGGUGGUAAGAAAUUGCCAGAAUUGUAAGAUCCUAAUAGGCCAUUAGCAUCUCUAUACUGGAUGCACUUUAGUGGACUCUUCCUCUGACCAGCAGCGAUGAAACACUGUUCUGUUCUUGCUCAGGCUCUGUCUCCAGCUAUUCUGGAAGAGUCGGUCACAUUCAGAUGUUGAAAGGUACAAGAUAGGGAGUCCGAGGAGCAGACCCUGCUCAAGAUUUUGACACUAAAUGCUGUGUGACCUUAAAUGAGCCAUUAAAUCUCACCACUAUAUAAUUUCUUCCCUUACAAAGUAGGGAGGAACUAUCUCAUGCUGAUAACUGUUCUGAUAGGAAAUCUGUUUUGAUAUAUUGUGAUUUUUACCUAAGAAUUAAGUAUGGAUAUUUUGUUGCAUUAUAGCCUCAGUCCUGUUUGUAGCUGUCAUUCAACAGUAUGAGGGCCUACUAUGCCUGUACUUGUGGUAGGGAGGAAGACAAGACAUAUAAACCUGCAAAGUGAAAUAAAAGGCACAGCCCUGUUGGAAUGGGAAGCCAAAUUUCUACUCCUCAUUCAAAACCUCAUGAAAUAUCUCUCCCUGACUGCCUCCCCAGCUAUCUUGGCAAACAGUGCAUUCCAUAGAAGAUCAGGGCCUUUAUCACCUCGUGCAGUCAUCUGUCUUUUCAACCUCCUCUGACAGCCUGUUAUCUUCUAAAAGAAAGGACAGUGUCCUGCUCAUUUCCUUAUUCCCCCAUCCCUAGCAUAGUUCCUGAAAUAUGGUAGGCAUGCAAUAUUUCUACAUAAGUAAAUGGAUGGAGUGAAUAAUAAAUGCCAAAUACAGACCAUAAGAUACAAAAGAGAGGCAGCCAUGGUGGACAGAGCCCUGAAAUAGGAGCCAGAAGAUCAGGGUGCAAAUCAUCAACUUAUUAUUCCAUGAAACUCUGACUUUGGGCUCUCUGUGACCCAGUGUCCACAUCUGAAAAGUGCUAAUGCCCAAACCAAACAGGGUUAUUGUGGGAAUUAGGUAAAAUGCUCUAAACAAAAUUUAGCUCCCUUAUCUUGUAUUCCUUUUCCCUAAAUAGUUGGAAUACAACACUGGAGUCCAAGUUGCAACCCGAGGUGCAACUACAGGUUUCUAGGUUAUCCAAGAAGGAAGAAGUUGUAAACCACAGGAGUAGAUGAAUUCUCAAGGAGAAAAUGAAGAGAAAGAGGCUGAUAACAAUAUCCAAAGGAAUAUACACAAUUACAGGGCUGCAGAGAUCAUGAGCUA